GUGUAAGCGCAGCGAUGCGUUGAGCUAACCGGUACUAAUGAACCGUGAGGCUUAACCUUACAACGCCGAAGC
rnacentral:rRNA from 2 species